rnacentral:rRNA from 1 species
CGAUCUAUCCAUGUCCAGGGUGAAGUUGUGGUAACACACAAUGGAGGCCCGAACUCACGCCUGUUGAAAAAGUCGGAGAUGAGGUGUGGAUAGGAGUGAAAGGCUAAUCAAGGCAGGUGAUAGCUGGUUCUCCUCGAAAGCUAUUGAGGUAGCGCCUCGUGUCUAACUACCGGGGGUAGAGCACUGUUUCGACUAGGGGGGACACAAGUCCUUACCAAAUCGAUGCAAACUCCGAAUACCGGUAAGUUCAAUCACGGGAGACACACGGUGGGGGCUAAAUUUC